rnacentral:lncRNA from 1 species
AUGACUAGUCAAGAAGACCGUGAAGAGCCCGGUUGUGGAGACGGAGAGAUGACGAACGGGACCGAGGGUGCUCAUCUUCUUCUAUUUUUAAAGCAUACAAUCUUGAAUCCCGAAACAGCGAGAGAUUUGGAGCACAUGAAGCGCAAAAUUCUUUCUGGAAUUGAGUUAAACUCACCCAGCAGAAGUAAGCGAAAAGCACUACGAAUCCAAGAACCUGAAGCCCCGCGAGCCCGAGAAUCCACUAAUGGUGCUGCACGAGGACGAAGCUUACCUAGAGAACUGCAAUUUCAACAACAAGAAAGAGGAGGUUUGUUCUAUGGAAACUAUGCCCCUCCUGAUUUGCCACCAAUCCCAAGCCUACAAAACUUAAUCCAAGAUUGCAGUAAGCCUUUUGAGAAACAGCUCACACGCAGUGAUGUGAAAGAAGACCAAUGCAGGCUCUCCAUGAACAAAGAAGAUGUCGAAUAUAACAUCAUGCCAUUGUUGAGAAACGGUGACAACCUUAAUGAAGGCAUCGAUGUGACAACUUAUGACAUGGCUGGCAACGAGUACCCAAUGGUGUUCAAGAUUUGGGCCACCAAGAUUCAUGUCCUCACUGGAGGCUGGAAAACUUUCUGUAAUGAUCUCGGACUGGUUGAGAACCAGGAUUUUGUGACCUUGUGGGUUUUUCGCCAUGUCGACAAUGGAGGCCUCUGCUUCGCAAUCCAUUCAAGAAGGUUGCCGGUGUUCAAACCCAUCAAGAAAAGAAGACCGAUAAGGCAGAAAUACCAUUAA